UGAAUACGAGACGCUAAGGCGUCGAAGUAGUGUAUGUCAUACUUCCAAGAAAAGCUUGCACUGUCAUAGAUAAAAAACGCCUGUACCAUAACCGACACAGGUGGGUAGGUAGAGUAUACUAAGGGGCGCGAGAUAACUCUCUCUAAGGAACUCGGCAAAAUAACUCCGUAACUUCGGGAGAAGGAGUGCCUUAUUCGUAAGGUUGCAAUAACAAGAUCCAAGCAACUGUUUAUCAAAAACGCAGGUCUCCGCUAAGUCGUAAGACGAUGUAUGGGGGCUGACGCCUGCCCAGUGCCAGAAGGUUAAAGAAGUUGGUUAGCAAUUGCGAAGCUGAUAACUGAAGCCCUGGUGAACGGCGGCCGUAACAAUAACGGUCCUAAGGUAGCGAAAUUCCUUGUCGGGUAAGUUCCGACCCGCACGAAAGGCGUAAUGAUUUGGAUACUGUCUCGGAGAGGGGCUCGGUGAAAUAGACUUGUCUGUGAAGAUGCGGACUACCUGCACCAGGACAGAAAGACCCUAUGAAGCUUUACUGUAACUUGAAAUUGAAAUUGGUCUUUAUUCGCGCAGUAUAGGUGGGAGGCGUUGAUUAUAAUCUUGUGGGAUUAUUGGAGCCAUCAGUGAGAUACCACUCUUGUAAUGUUAGAUUUCUAACUUUGAAUCAUUAUCUGGUCAAAGAACAGUUUCAGGCGGGCAGUUUGACUGGGGCGGUCGCCUCCUAAACGGUAACGGAGGCGUACAAAGGUUUCCUCUGAACGGUUAGAAAUCGUAUCUAGAGUGUAAAGGCAUAAGGAAGCUUGACUGUGAGACCUACAAGUCGAGCAGGGACGAAAGUCGGUCUUAGUGAUCUGACGGUACUGAGUGGAAAGGCCGUCACUCAACGGAUAAAAGUUACUCUAGGAUAACAGGCUGAUCUCCCCCAAGAGUUCACAUCGACGGGGAGGUUUGGCACCUCGAUGUCGGCUCAUCGCAUCCUGGGGCGGUAGUACGUCCCAAGGGUUGGGCUGUUCGCCCAUGAAAGCGGUACGCGAGCUGGGUUCAGAACGUCGUGAGACAGUUCGGUCCAUAUCCGGUGUAGGCGUUAGAAUAUUGGGAGGAGCCUUCUUAGUACGAGAGGACCGAGAAGGACAUACCUCUGGUGUACCAGUUAUCGUGCCAACGGUAAACGCUGGGUAGCUAUGUAUGGAGUGGAUAACCGCUGAAAGCAUCUAAGUGGGAAGCCCACCUCAAGAUAAGUAUUCUC
rnacentral:rRNA from 1 species